rnacentral:rRNA from 1 species
GGGUCAGUAGGUUGGUCGUGCCACCGGUACGUACUGGUCUCACUGAUUCCUCCUUCCUGAAGAACCGUAAUGCCAUUAAUCCGGUGUUGCGGGGAAACAGGACUGUUACUUUGAAAAAAUUAGAGUGUUUAAAGCAAGCUAACGCUUGAAUACAUUAGCAUGGAAUAAUGAAAUAGGACGAUCGAUCCUAUUUUGUUGGUUUCUAGGAUUGACGUA